ACUAACGAUGCUUGUGUUGGGAUAAAGACCCCCCAAAAACAUUAUCUAGUUUGUUUUGAUUAGUGACUAAAUCAAUUGAACUAAAAGUUGAGCAGAUUUAUUUUUUAUUCAGCAACAAAUUUGUAUUUACCCAUUUUACAUUGAGACACAUUACUUCUCGGAUCAAUAUUUGUCUAAUGCAGGGCUGCUGCCUCAAUCAUUAUUUGCUCUAUUAGAUCUUUUAAAACUCUUUUUUCCAUAUUAGGUUCUCAGAGGAUUGAAUCAGGUCCCCAUUCCUCUCAGCUGCAGGCCUUGAGCCAAAUUGCCUAAACUUUUACACCCUUCAGAACAUCUACAACAUCUACAGCCUGGACUACGGACCUCUGAGUUUCAGAACAUUGGUGCUGUGGGGCGCCACAACAGGGUCGUCAUCGCGUCAUUCGUCAUCCUCCGGAUCCGGCAGGAGUUUACGGAUCCAGCUGACCAGUAUGUUGGCUUCCGACCGCCCCUUGACUGAGGCCUGACAUGUGGCAUGCAACCAUUUCCUCCUUUGACGGCCUGUCAUAUUGGGAUGACAGAUCCUUGGGGGUGAGGAUUUUUUCAUCUACUCCACAAAUGGUGCUGGGUCUUCAAAAACCAUCUUCAUCAAGUCACCCACAUAAUCUGUAAAACAUUUCAUUCAAUUGUUCAUUUUCUAGUGUUUUCCUGAAUCCAGUUUUGUUGUUUACCUAAAAUGUUCAGAAUUAUUUAUUAUUCAUUUGAAUUUGUUAUCAUGUUUGUAAUAAUAAAAUAGUGUUUUACAACUUA